AAGUAUAUGCAUAUUUUAUAUGUAGAAACUGCGAACGGCUCAUUAAAACAGUUAUAAUCUACUUGACAUUUUUUCUAUAAGGAUAACUACGGAAAAGCUGUAGCUAAUACUUGCUUUAGCACUCUUGAUUAAGUUCUUGAGUGUGUACUUGUUAAGCCUUUUAAGAAAAAAGUUAUUAACUUAAGGAAUUAUAACAAAGAAGUAACACGUAAUGGAUCCGUCCAUUUUUAGUGUGUAUCAAUCGAGUUUCUGACCUAUCAGCUUUUGAUGUUAGGGUAUUGGCCUAACAUGGCUAUGACGGGUAACGGGGAAUUAGAGUUCGAUUCCGGAGAGGGAGCCUGAGAAAUAGCUACCACAUCUAAGGAAGGCAGCAGGCGCGUAAAUUACCCAAUUCUAAAGAAGAGAGGUAGUGACAAGAAAUAACAAUACAAGGCCAAUCUGGCUUUGUAAUUGGAAUGAUGGGAAUUUAAAACCUUCCCAAAACUCAAUUGGAGGGCAAGUCUGGUGCCAGCAGCCGCGGUAAUUCCAGCUCCAAUAGCGUAUAUUAAAAUUGUUGCAGUUAAAACGCUCGUAGUUGAAUUUCAAAGAAUCGAUAUUUUAAGUAACGCUUUUAGCUUAAUCCACAUAACUGAUACUACGUAUCGACUUUGUGCGCAUUUUGCUAUUAUGUGUUCUUUUAAUUAAAAUGAUUCUUUUUAAGAUCUUUUAUUGUUUCGGCAUUAGAAGGUCUUGUUACUUUGAGUAAAUUAGAGUGUUCAAAGCAAACAGAUAUAGCAUUGCGCGUUUGAAUACUACAGCAUGGAAUAACAAAAUUGAACAAGUCAGAAUUUUGUUCUUUUUUCUUAUUUUGGCUUAGUUACGAUUAAUAGGAGUAGCUUGGGGGCAUUUGUAUUCAGAUGUCAGAGGUGAAAUUCUUAGAUUUUCUGGAGACAAACAACUGCGAAAGCAUUUGCCUAAAAUACUUCCAUUAAUCAAGAACGAAAGUUAAGGGAGUGAAGACGAUCAGAUACCGUCGUAAUCUUAACCAUAAACUAUGCCGACUAGGCUUUGGAUGAAAGAUUUUAAAAUAAGAGUUUUUCUCUUCGGAGUUAAACUCUUAGAUUGCUUCCUUCAGUGCCUUAUGAGAAAUCAAAGUCUUUGGGUUCUGGGGCGAGUAUUCGCGCAAGCGAGAAAGUUAAAAGAAUUGACGGAAGGGCACCACCAGGCGUGGAGCUUGCGGCUUAAUUUGACUCAACACGGGAAAACUCACUAGUUUAAGACAAGAGUAGGAUUGACAGAUUAAUAGCUCUUUCUUGAUUUCUUGGAUGGUGAUGCAUGGCCGUUUUUAGUUCGUGAAUAUGAUUUGUCUGGUUAAUUCCGAUAACGAACGAGAUCUUAACCUGCUAAUUAGCGGCAAAUACGAUAUAUUCUUAUGUGGAAUUGAAUACGGUUGAUUUGCUUAUUUUGAAGAGAAUAUUGGAAUGCGUAAAGUGUUCCUUUCCCUU
rnacentral:rRNA from 1 species